AUUAUUAAAACUGAAAAAUUAAUGGAUAAAUAAAUAUUUAUUUAUUUAAUUUAAACAGUCCAUAAAAGUUUUUUUACAAAGCCUAAAUACACAGACCCAACAGCCAAAUUUUACUAGACUAGCCCAGCCUAAACUAAGUCCCAAACAGUUGCAAUGGACCUGUUACAGACUGGUAGCCCAAAACACCUCUACCCAUUACAAACCCAAAAUUUCCAAAGGCCCAAUUGGCCCAAACAUCUGCAGACCUAGGCAGGAAACCCUAGGGUUUCUGCCCUCUUUCUCCUCGCGCCGCAAACAGAAGGUUCCAGAAGCCAAGCCUCAUGACUCUUCAGCUCCUGCUGUUCCAGCUACCCCAUCAAGGCCAUGAUUCCAGGCCCCAAGUCACACUGAGAUCAACGCCACCAGUGGACCAUCG
rnacentral:lncRNA from 1 species